rnacentral:rRNA from 1 species
UACGUAGGUGGCAAGCGUUGUCCGGAUUUAUUGGGUUUAAAGGGUGCGUAGGCGGUUCUGUAAGUCAGGGGUGAAAUACUCUAGCUUAACUAGAGGGGUGCCAAUGAUACUGCAGAACUUGAGUACAGAUGAGGUAGGCGGAAUUGACGGUGUAGCGGUGAAAUGCAUAGAUAUCGUCAAGAACACCGAUAGCGAAGGCAGCUUACUGGGCUGUAACUGACGCUGAGGCACGAAAGUGUGGGGAUCAAACAGG